rnacentral:rRNA from 1 species
CGCCUACGGGACGCAGCAGUGGGGAAUAUUGGGCAAUGGACGCAAGUCUGACCCAGCAACGCCGCGUGAAGGAAGAAGGCUUUCGGGUUGUAAACUUCUUUUAAGGGGGAAGAGUAGAAGACGGUACCCCUUGAAGAAGCCCCGGCUAACUACGUGCCAGCAGCCGCGGUAAUACGUAGGGGGCAAGCGUUAUCCGGAUUUACUGGGUGUAAAGGGAGCGUAGACGGCGUGCCAAGUCUGAUGUGAAAGGCCGGGGCUCAACCCCGGGACUGCAUUGGAAACUGGCAUGCUGGAGUGCCGGAGGG